GACGAACGCUGGCGGCGUGCUUAACACAUGCAAGUCGAACGGAAGGGGCCUGCUGUUGUGUGGUGCUCGAGUGGCUAACGGGUGGGUAACACGUGAGUAACCAGGCCUUGAGUUGGGGAGGACUACAAGAAGCUGGGGCUGAUACCAGAGAAUAGCUCCUGCUGCAGGAUGGGGGGGGGAAAGGUACGGGGGUUGGGGAUGGGUUGGGGGCUUAGCAGGUUGUGCGGGGUGUAGUGGCUUACCAAGGCUUUGACGGAUAGCCGGCAUGAGAGGGUGAACAGCCCCCUUGCGACUGAGAUACGGACCAGACUCCUACGGGAGGCAGCAGGGGCGACUCUUGCACAAUGGGGCGAAGCCUAAUGCAGAAGCCCUGCGUUUGGAAUGAACGCCUUUGAGUUGUAAACCGCCUUCGCCUGUGAAGAACUGUGAGUGACGGUAAUGGGUAAAGAAGCACCGGCUAACUACGUG
rnacentral:rRNA from 1 species